rnacentral:lncRNA from 1 species
ACAUCACGUUUCUCCCACGGGGCCGGGAAGUGUCACAGGGCCUCGAUGGGGGAUGAAGGCUGCCUUAGGUCUAAAACGAGGUCGUGCUCUACUUUGGGAAGUGGAAGGCGGGGGGGGGGGGGGGGGGGGGGGGGGCACAGUAUCCGACACCCCGAGCGCGGAGGAAGCGCGUGCACCGGGCCGGCUGCAGGCUGAGCCCUGGAUCUGGGCCGUGGGGGCAGCCAGGGCGGCGGUCCCGGCCAGCCCCGAAGGCCACCCACACUGCUGGGCUUUUACCUUGGAGGAUGUGGGACAGAGCGGUCUGGACUCCGACCACCGCGGCAGACAGGCCCUGACCCCGGGAGCAGGCCAGGUGGAGGCGGACGCCACAGAGGACGGUGUGUUGGGGCCCUGGGGGGGGAGCAGCGAGGGGCCGGGCCGCCCUCGCCAGCCCAGCUCAGGCGCAGGCCACCCCAGGCCUCCUCCCCGGCCUCCCUUCCCGCAGCACCCCUCCUCCUGCAGGUCUCCUGACCCGAGACAAGAUCCCCCUGCACCGAUGCAAAGCGCGGCCCUGACCAGACCUCGAGCAGGGACAGGAGGGAAGGAAAGGCCACCAGAAGUGACCCCGAGGACUCCUCAGCGGCCAGCGGGAAGGGUGAUAAUGCGGACGGCGGGGUGCUGA